UACGCCGAACUCGGACUUGUGUCCUUCGAAGUUCGAACUUGCAAGUUCAGACUCGGAAGAACGAACUCCUGACGCGAAAUGCAUUCUGGGAAACUUCGCUGUCAUAAGUACACACAAGUCUCCUCUGAUGCAUCCUCGAUAAAAUGGGCGGAUCAAGAACACAUCCGGGGAUUUUAUGUGAACUUGGGCUUGAUGCGAACUUUGAAUUGGAACAGUACUUGGGCCGCGGCUGAUGACGUUUCACAAGUCCACAAGAACACAAGUACAGAUAAGAACGCAUAUUGAGAAACGGCUAAGAUGCCCUAUUGGCCGCUGGGGACUGAGAAAUACGGCGGCCAUCUUAAACCGGUCGUUCUCCUAGUUUCGUUGCAUGGCAGCAGAUAAGAUGUCAGAGCACUGUGGAGCAUUUUCCUGUUCUAAUCGGCCGACGAUCGCAAAUAGAGCCCGGAGGAUUAUUUUCACAAGUACUUUUUAACAUCGCGGUACUAUUGGUUGUAUUUUGUGAAUAGAAUAUUAACAGAAAAUUGAGAAAGAGCCAGCUUUUUGAUUUUACUGUACUGAAAUCGUAGCCAGCUAACGUUCGCUAGGCUAUGUUUACUGCACCAGCCGCUGUUCACCCUGCAAGGAGAGUGGGGUGCUGUGAGCUGCGUGAUCCGCCGAGCUUUAAAAAGCUAAGAUGUCAACAGGGACAGAGGAUGUUUUCCUUCGUAGGGAGGACAUUGAGGAGACUCGGUUUGGAAUCGACAACUAUCAGUCUGACUCGUUGUCACUGGUUGUGUUUGUGUUUUUAAAGAUAAGGCUCCACCAUGUUGCCAAACUCACAUCUCUUGAACUACAGAAAGGGAGCACGGGAAAGAAGCUCUGGAAAACAGUCCUCUUUCAGGGGUGUGUGUGUGUGUAUGUGUGCGUGCGUGCGUGCGCGCGCGUGUGUGGGGGGGUUUAUAAAUCAUUUUAAAUUGUUUCUUCACCAUAUUAAAAAGUCUUAUUUUAUUGCAACUAUCUGUUUCUGCAUCUUUGUCAUAUUUAUAGUGUGUGAAUUAUAAAAUAUCUUAUGUCCUACACCACAUAUUUUUGAAGAGUACAAGAGUAUGUGGCAAAAUCUAGUGGCAGUUGUUGGUAAAACCAUUAAAAUUGUGACCCAAACAUAAUUUUUUUGUGAUUUGGAUCACAACUACUUGAGACAUAUUGCUUCAUGUUAACAUUAUUUAUUGUGUGAAACAUUAACUUUUAUGCAAUUUUAUUUAUAAAUUAAUAUGUUACUGCAUAAUUUGAUAUAUUAAAAUAAAGGUAAACGGCUAUAAAAAUAUUUAUAUUUAAUAUUUUUACGUUCUAACUCAUUUGUGAAAAACCCUAAAUUGUCUUCUUUAAAACAAGACCAAGAUUAGGUUUCUAGCCCAAAGAAUCCCAGAGAAAUAUUAAUUUAAAGAUGUACAUCACAUUGUCACCCCCACUCAAACAGGAUUUGCGGCACAUAAGGGGUUAAAAUACGCCGAACCAUGUGUCCUAUAUCAUAGCUCCAUGAAUGACCUUUGCAGCAAAAAAACCCGCUUGAAAAUCU